CGAACGAAGCAAUAAGAUGAAGUUUUCGGAUGGAAUCUUGAUUGACUGAGUGGCGGACGGGUGAGUAACGCGUGGAUAACCUGCCUCACACUGGGGGAUAACAGUUAGAAAUGACUGCUAAUACCGCAUAAGCGCACAGUGCCGCAUGGCAGUGUGUGAAAAACUCCGGUGGUGUGAGAUGGAUCCGCGUCUGAUUAGCCAGUUGGCGGGGUAACGGCCCACCAAAGCGACGAUCAGUAGCCGACCUGAGAGGGUGACCGGCCACAUUGGGACUGAGACACGGCCCAAACUCCUACGGGAGGCAGCAGUGGGGAAUAUUGCACAAUGGGCGAAAGCCUGAUGCAGCGACGCCGCGUGAGUGAAGAAGUAUUUCGGUAUGUAAAGCUCUAUCAGCAGGGAAGAAAAUGACGGUACCUGACUAAGAAGCCCCGGCUAACUACGUGCCAGCAGCCGCGGUAAUACGUAGGGGGCAAGCGUUAUCCGGAUUUACUGGGUGUAAAGGGAGCGUAGACGGCGAAGCAAGUCUGAAGUGAAAACCCAGGGCUCAACCCUGGGACUGCUUUGGAAACUGUUUUGCUAGAGUGUCGGAGAGGUAAGUGGAAUUCCUAGUGUAGCGGUGAAAUGCGUAGAUAUUAGGAGGACACCAGUGGCGAAGGCGGCUUACUGGACGAUAACUGACGUUGA
rnacentral:rRNA from 1 species